UCCUACGGGAGGCAGCAGUGGGGAAUACUGCACAAUGGGGGAAACCCUGAUGCAGCGACGCCGCGUGAGUGAAGAAGUAUUUCGGUAUGUAAAGCUCUAUCAGCAGGGAAGAAAAUGACGGUACCUGACUAAGAAGCCCCGGCUAACUACGUGCCAGCAGCCGCGGUAAUACGUAGGGGGCAAGCGUUAUCCGGAUUUACUGGGUGUAAAGGGAGCGUAGACGGCAGCGCAGGUCUGAAGCGAAAUCCCAUGGCUUAACCAUGGA
rnacentral:rRNA from 1 species